ACGCCUGCGCAGUGGCCUCUUUCCCCCGAAGCCAGACCUCCCCUCUCCUACUGUUGCCUGGUCGCUCUUUUACCCACCCCCAGGCUAACCCCGUCUGCCAAUCACAGCCCGCUGCGGUUUCAGAGCGCCCCCUCUCCCCCCUCCCGCCCAGAGGCUUCGGGGAUUGGCUGUAACCGAAGAAAGAGCAGGAAUCUUAUUUGGAGGUAGAGCUGCCUCAAGAAAUCCAGCUGGAACUGGUCUGAGGUGGCGAGGUGGGUGCGGGGAGGGCUUUGAGCAUCUGGCGGGAAAGCUGGAGCUCCGCCUUCAGCGCUGCGGUUCUUUCUUGUCUGAAAUAGAGCACACGUGCCCUUUGCUCGUGCGUUUUAACUAAUCCCUGUUAGCUGAUGUGUCUGCUGGUGGGCUAGGGCCUGAGCGGACUGACCCGGGACUGGCGGCCUCAUCUGCAGGGCCUGGCACGGGAUGGAGAAGUCCAGCCCUUGCUUAGGGCCGUGGGCCACCCCCCCACCCCCCAUGCAAAUCCUUAACCCUCUCCCGAAGCCUCAGGAGCUCCGGCUCUUCCCUUGCCCCUGCGGCGCCAGCCCAGAGGGCGAAGAGUCUGGCGGGAUGGGGCAAUCAGGUUGGAAAACUCGAUGAGACACAGCGGGAGAGUUAAGAAUAAGAGUCCUCUGAACUGUAUCCUAUGGGCCGCAGUUGUCUGCGGGCUCCUAAUGGGAAGGCAGGGAGUUGAAAGCAGUGCUUGAAGCCUUUAUUGAUCGGGCUUUGGAAUGUUGGCCCGGCUGGGAGGAGGAAGGGGAGCUGUCAGAAGCUGUUGAGAUGAUGAGAGCCUGGCCCAGGAGUAAGAGGACGGGAAGAGAAGCAAAGGAGAAGAAUCAAAUGGCAGUGCACGUCUUAGUGUAUAAUCCGUCCGGCUCCGUAAAUCUCCUUGCCUUGGCACCCUCGGACUUCGUUUGUAGUCCUGUCACUACCAGUUGAAAGAGGGGCCGGGGAUUUAGCUCAGUGGUUUCCGCCGCCUGCUGCGCAAGCUCAAGGAUCCGAGUUCCAUCCCCUGUACCAAAAGAAAAAAAAAAAGUGCUGAAAGACUCGUGAGGAAUUUGAAAAUUGACAAAUAUGUACCAGGAGAACAUGUGGGUGGUUAGCAAAGAUCAAAAAUAGGGAAAACAAACAAAAUGAAACCAGAUGAUCAACCCUCGGAGGCUUGGCAGAAAACAAAUGGCUGAUGGAAUAACAACUCCAGUUCCAACUGCAGCACCUAUCUUAUGCUCCAUUCCUCCUAAGUGUCUGUUUCUGUUGGAAGGCACAGCUAGAGCUGCAUGCAGCAACAAAUGAUGCCUGAACCCAUAUCCACAACACCUGAGCAAAAUGAGUAUCUGCUUAGAAAAGUUUAGGGUGAAUGAUCCACACACUUUACUAAUUAGUAAGGAGAAUUCUUGUCUGUCUUUAGAGGCUGCCUAGGCCCUCCCAGUUAUAUCAUGUAGAGCGUUCCCUGCCCCUGUGUCUAGGAAGAUAGGUCUGGAGUGGAGCUCUGGUGUGACCUAAAUGGCCAAAGCCACGCUACAAUGUUGAACAGCUGGGAGGCAAAACGUUCCCCCUCCCUUAUCUGGAAUAAGUCUCAGAGGUUUUCACUGCCCAGUACUCAGCUUUACCACUUAGGAGUAGCCACAAGAUUUGUUCCAGGGAGCAAUUCUCUUUUUUUUCCCCAUUACUGGGGAUUGAACCAAGGGCUCUAGCACUGAGCUACCUCCCUAGUCCUUUAGUUGAAAGUCUCCUUAAAUCAUUACUUUGCCCAGGCUGCACUUGAACUUGUCAUCCUCCUGCCUCAGCUUCCCAGAGUGCAACAACUGUAAUUUAAGAGGCAAAAUUUAACAAGAUUACCAAGAGCUUUUUGCUGUCCAGCCUGGGUGGCAGUUCUUAAAUCUCAGGUAGCCCCUAAUGUUGGAAGUGGGGACCCUAAAACAACCUUCUAUAGAAAAAGAUGAGGGAUUGGGGUCAGUAGUACCAUAGGGGUUUUUCUUACCUCGUGUUUUAUUUUUUCUUUAAUCUUGCAGGAUUCUGUUGCACUGUGCCAAAAUGUUUUUCUUACAUUUUCACAGCUUUGAGCUUGAGGUGGCUGCAAAA